rnacentral:rRNA from 1 species
GACGAACCGUGCGAACGUUGUUCGGAAUCACUGGGCUUAAAGGGCGCGUAGGCGGCUUGCCAAGUCAGGGGUGAAAUCUUUCGGCUUAACCGGAAAAGUGCCUUUGAUACUGGCGAGCUCGAGUGAGGUAGGGGCAGAUGGAACUGUUGGUGGAGCGGUGAAAUGUGUUGAUAUCAACAGGAACGCCGGUGGCGAAGGCGGCAUCCUGGACCGAUAUUGACGCUGAUGCGCGAAAGCCAGGGGAGCAAACGGG